GAUGAACGCUGGCGGCGUGCCUAAUACAUGCAAGUCGAGCGAACGGACGAGAAGCUUGCUUCUCUGAUGUUAGCGGCGGACGGGUGAGUAACACGUGGAUAACCUACCUAUAAGACUGGGAUAACUUCGGGAAACCGGAGCUAAUACCGGAUGAUAUUCUGAACCGCAUGGUUCAAAAGUGAAAGACGGUCUUGCUGUCACUUAUAGAUGGAUCCGCGCUGCAUUAGCUAGUUGGUAAGGUAACGGCUUACCAAGGCAACGAUGCAUAGCCGACCUGAGAGGGUGAUCGGCCACACUGGAACUGAGACACGGUCCAGACUCCUACGGGAGGCAGCAGUAGGGAAUCUUCCGCAAAGGGCGAAAGCCUGACGGAGCAACGCCGCGUGAGUGAUGAAGGUCUUCGGAUCGUAAAACUCUGUUAUUAGGGAAGAACAUAUGUGUAAGUAACUGUGCACAUCUUGACGGUACCUAAUCAGAAAGCCACGGCUAACUACGUG
rnacentral:rRNA from 1 species